rnacentral:sRNA from 1 species
UCAGAUGUUGAGCGUGAAGGAUAACGUUGCGUCAGCAACGGCCCGUAGGGCGAGGCGAAGCCGAGUCAUCCUGCACGACCCACCA